rnacentral:rRNA from 1 species
AACGAACGCUGGCGGCGUGCCUAACACAUGCAAGUCGAACGUGAUUGAAGAGCUUGCUCUUCAUGAAAGUGGCGCACGGGUGAGUAACGCGUAGAUAAUCUACCUGGUGAUUUGGGAUAACAGUUCGAAAGGACUGCUAAUACCGAAUAAGCCCACGGAGUCUUUGGAUUCUGCGGGAAAAGGGGGGGACUUUCGGGCCUUCCGUCAUCAGAUGAGUCUGCGUACCAUUAGCUAGUUGGUAGGGUAAAGGCCUACCAAGGCGACGAUGGUUAGCUGGGCUGAGAGGAUGAUCAGCCACACUGGAACUGAGACACGGUCCAGACUCCUACGGGAGGCAGCAGUGGGGAAUUUUGCGCAAUGGGGGAAACCCUGACGCAGCAACGCCGCGUGAGUGAUGAAGGCCCUUGGGUCGUAAAGCUCUGACAGAGGGAAAGAAAUGUAGGAUGGCUAAUAUCCAACUUACUUGACGGUACCCUCAAAGGAAGCACCGGCUAACUCCGUGCCAGCCGCCGCGGUAACAC